UUUUAUAUCUUUAUUUAGUAAGUUCUUUCCUACUAAGUGUAUAAUUUGAUAUUUUUUUGUUAGUUCUUCUAUAUUAUUCCAUAUAUAAUCAUUUAAUAUUUUAGAACCUAAUGAGCCUCCCAUUACUAAAAUAACAGGUUUUUCUCUGUUAAACUCGCAGAAUUUAUAG
rnacentral:ncRNA from 1 species